GUUCAAGAUAACUGUCAUUGUCACUGUAGAAAACAAUCAGAAGAGACUUUUCCUCCAGGGAGUUUCAGCUUUAGAGCCCUGUAAGGGUAUUGGUAACAUUCAUAUGCUUUGUUUGAUUUUUUUUAAUGAAUCAUAAAUGAAAAGAACAUAUAAAUAAAAUCUACAAAAAAGAGACUAUAGCAAGCUUCCCCAAUAUUUUUGUCAGGAAGAAGUGCUUGCCAUUUUUAAAAUAGGGUGAGACCAAAAUUGGAGUCAAAUAGAUUGGCUUAAAGAUACUCUGCAGCUGCCAGUUAUGUUGCUUAGCAAAUCAGAGAGGGUGCCAUACUUGUAGCAGAUGGCUUGGCUCUCAGACCCCCCAGAAGAUGUGAUGGUCGUAACUACAAUGUAUAGAGUUGUAGCUGCCUCUGCUCAGCUAAGUUUGCAGCUCUGACUUGAAUCAUUUUGCUCCUUAGUGCAUUAGACCAUGGUUGAUGCAACAGGGCACAUGCCCCACCUGCAGGCUCCAUGUUUUGCUACCAGAAGAAUUCCCUGGCCACCCCAACGGGCAGUUUCCCAAGAUCUGAUACAAGGCAGGUAGCUAUACCUAAGAUUAGUUUUAGACACUGGAAUUUAGUUCUGCUUUUUUACAAGCUAAUUGUGUGAACAGUAUUAUGCAGCAGUAUGUCCUUGACCAGCUAUUCAUACCAGAGCUGAGUCAAAGAGAAUUGAGACAGAUCUACAGCAAAUGUAUAUUAAAUGGAAGGGACAUAAAGAACAUGGAUUUUAUUGCUUUUUGUAAGAUUUUACAUCUGUAAACACAAGACUUGUAAACAUGACUGCUAGUAUAUUUCUUAGAAUGUCCUGUCUUUUCUUCCUUCUUACUCUAUUGCCCUUUACUUUCUCUCAAGGAUGCUAUAUUUUAGUUUCCUGAGAUAAGUUUAGUAGAACAUGUAAAAGGUAGCAAAAUCCUAUAGACUUAAGUUUUCUUUUUAACUUUGAAAGCUUAGUGUUAAAAUCUAAUUACUGUAAGUUUUAUUUCUAUCUCCCUUGUUCUUUCCUAUCUUCCGAGAUGCCUACACUUGAUGAGAUGAUGGCCUUUGACACUGGUGGCUGUGCAAUGGUUGGUAAUAGCUUGUGAAGGUGAUGGUCUGUUUCAGACCAUACAGAUCCAAUUUGUCAGUUUGCUGCCAUGUAAUCUCCAUACCAAUUACACUGCAACUAAGACUCGUCUUUGCCCCAUCAAGAGCUAGUUCUUAAAAUCACGCCAAAGAUGCUUGUAUUCCUAAUAUUUAGCAAAAUAAAUAUAGAAUGAAGUUAGAAUUAGAAAUCAAGAUGUAGUAAAAGGGGCAGACAUGCAAAUUAAGUCAUUUUCUGGGAUAACUGAGAUCUUAUAUUCCUUUGUAAACUUAUUCUUUGGUUCUUAGUCAUUUGCAUUUGGAGGAGUUGUGGGGCUUUUUUGUCGUUUUGUUUUGCUUUUCUCUUUAAAGUUGUCUCCUUUUAUGUAGUUAUUCUGGGGAAGAGAAGAAGCCAUUAUGUGUACUUGCUGCUGCUUAUGACAGAUUUGAUAUCCAUUAGACCAACUGUCUAUCAAAGCUUAUUACUGAGAGUUUCAAUUCUUAGACAACAAAGCCUGUUUUAAAAAUAGUGUAAAUGCCUGUAAGUAUUGUACAUGCCUAUACCUUCAGACGCAAAGUAGACCAUGGCUACCUUGUGACACGUGUUCCUUGGUUCGUAUUCUCAAUCUCAAUUUUAUUAAUUUUGGGGGAAAAGUCCUUUUUGACUCAGCAAACUAUUUUGUCUAUAUAUUUCAGUGUAAAUGUAUCUUGAAGUUACUGUGAAUCUCUAUUUAAAAAGUCAGUGCCUGUAAUUGUAUACUAAACUUUUUUUAUUUUGAAAAUAAACUGAAAAAUGUGAAAAAAUAUUUUUAAGAUUCCAACAUCCGCGUGGGUAAGAUGACUUGGCAGCUAAUGGUGCUUGUUGGAGUUUGAUGACCUGAGUUCUAUCCCUGGGACCUGCAUGGUAAAAGGAAAGAACCAAUAAUCUGUAAAUUUUCCUCUGACCUUCUCAAUGUACAUUGUGGCUUUGGUGUGCACAUGCACACAGUACUUGUAGAUGCACGAAAGAGAAAGAGAAGAAAGACUUUUAAAUAUGCCAUUUGUCUAUAUAUAAAGUACCAACAUUGUGUUGGAAUUGUAAAAUCUAGAACUUACGGGGUAUGUAAUCGUUGUCUUAUAAUGGUUAUGUAGCAAGUUACCUUGUAAUUUUUAGUUCAUGCUUACAGUUUGUUUCCUAGUUCAUGCUUAUAAUUGUAAUUUCAUUUUCAUGUGGAAAAUAAAAAUGUUUCUGAAUUGAACUUUU
rnacentral:lncRNA from 1 species